GGGGCGGAGCUUCUGACUGACAGCUCGCGCCCGCCCGUCCCUUCCUCGCGACCACGCUGGCCCCGCCUCCUGGCUGCCCCGUAGGAGGGUGAACUCCCUGAGAGCAGGGGCCAUGUAUCUCAAGCUUUCAACAACACCCAGCACAAGACUGGUGCGAGGCAGGCUUCAACAAAUGUUUGUUAAAUGGGGUUUCACCAUAUUGGCCAGGCUGGUCUCGAACUCCUGACCACGUGAUCUGCCUACCUCGGCCUCCCAAAGUGCUGGAAUUACAAGCGUGAGCCACCGUGCGCAGCCAAAAAAUGAUAAUGGGCUUAUACUAAAUUUAUAAAUUAAUUUGACAUCUUUGUGAUUUUAAGUCUUCCCAUCUGAGAACAUGGCAUGUCUUUCCAUUAGUUCAGAGUGUUAUGAAUGUUUCUCAUUAAGGUUUUAGACAUUGCUUGUGAAGGUUGUUUGUAGGUAUUUUAUCUUUUUUGUUGCUCUAAUAAAUGGAGCCUUCUCUUCCA